GACGAACGCUGGCGGCGUGCUUAACACAUGCCAGUCGAACGGAAAGGCCCUGCUUUUGUGGGGUGCUCGAGUGGCGAACGGGUGAGUAACACGUGAGUAACCUGCCCUUGACUUUGGGAUAACUUCAGGAAACUGGGGCUAAUACCGGAUAGGAGCUCCUGCUGCAUGGUGGGGGUUGGAAAGUUUCGGCGGUUGGGGAUGGACUCGCGGCUUAUCAGCUUGUUGGUGGGGUAGUGGCUUACCAAGGCUUUGACGGGUAGCCGGCCUGAGAGGGUGACCGGCCAAAUUGGGACUGAGAUACGGCCCAGACUCCUACGGGAGGCAGCAGUGGGGAAUAUUGCACAAUGGGCGGAAGCCUGAUGCAGCACCGCCGCGUGCGGGAUGACGGCCUUCGGGUUGUAAACCGCUUUCGCCUGUGACGAAGCGUGAGUGACGGUAAUGGGUAAAGAAGCACCGGCUAACUACGUG
rnacentral:rRNA from 1 species